ACAUGCCUACAUCAUAGCGUUAAUGCAUCAAAUCUCAUUAGAACUCCAUAUUUAAGCGCGCUCAGGAUAGAGUAGUACUAGGAUGGGUGGACUCACAAGAAGUCCUAUUGUUUUACAUGCC
rnacentral:rRNA from 1 species